rnacentral:SRP_RNA from 1 species
ACAGUGGCAUAAACCUAUAAUUCCAGCUACUCAGAUGGCUGAGGCCAAAGGAUCACUUGAGCCCAAGAGUUCUGGGCUGCAGUGUCCUAUGCUGAUCAGAUGUUCACAUUUAAUUAACAUCAAUACAGUGACCUCCUGGAAGCAGGCAACCACCAGGUUACCUCUAAGGAGGGGUGAACCAACUCAGAAACAGAGCAGGUUAAAACUCCCAUGCUGAUCAGUAAUGGGGUUAUACCUGUGAAUAGACACUGCACUCCAGCCUGGGCAACAUAGCAAGACCCCCAU